UACGGGGGGGGCAAGCGUUGUUCGGAAUUACUGGGCGUAAAGGGCUUGUAGGUGGCCAACUAAGUCAGACGUGAAAUCCCUCGGCUUAACCGGGGAACUGCGUCUGAUACUGGAUGGCUUGAGUUUGGGAGAGGGAUGCGGAAUUCCAGGUGUAGCGGUGAAAUGCGUAGAUAUCUGGAGGAACACCGGUGGCGAAGGCGGCAUCCUGGACCAUUACUGACACUGAAAAGCGAAAGCCAGGGGAGCAAACGGG
rnacentral:rRNA from 1 species